GCAGCUUUCACGAGUUACUUGUUCCUAGGAGACGCUCUUCAUUUGGGGAGUGUGAUUGGAGCAAUAAUCAUUAUUGUUGGAUUUUAUACUGUGAUGUGGGGGAAGGCCAAAGAGAAAGCUAUGAUGGAGCUUGAGGAGAUUGUGUGUGAACCUGAAUCACCAAACGGAAGAUCACCUCUGUUGCACAAGUGAGCAUACAUGUGAGCUUUCAGUCAAACACAAAAACAAACUACGGCAAAUUAUAUCAUGGAUCAGGGUCUACCUGCUGCAUUGUAGAUCCUGGUCUAAAAAUAACUUUGUAUUUGUAGUGAUAAUUUCUGUACCUGUAGUUGUCAUAUUAUGUGGCUAUGUGCCAGCAAUUUUCAAGUUAUUUGUUUAAAAUUGUUAACUGUGUAGGUACAAAAAUUUUGUAUCAAGAUUUACAAGGUAAUAUGAAUCCUGGUUCAUGGUAUAACAAUUGACAAAUUAUUUUAUAA